CGCACAUCUGAGCCUUGGCCUGUUCGGUCACCCGUCUGCCUGUUCUAUUUUUGGAUUUCACCUGGUUUGGUGGGCUCCGAGUGAAUUCUUGCGUUCCUUCUGAACUUCGACAUGGCACCACUGCGCUAUAGGGCUACGGCAAGGUCUUGGAGUAGCGGCAGCGAGGGAGACAGCGCCUAUAUGCACGUUGACGUCUUGAGGCUUAUCGGCAGACUCGUGCUGAUACCAUCAGCAUGGUGGAACGGUGGCUCGAGAUCGGAGAGCUACGUCACCCGUCUGCCCAACUAGACAAGCUACCACGGCCCGUCUGCGCAGCCGAUCUUCACAGCAGGCGAGUGGCGUCCCGACCACGGUGCUUCGACGGCUCUGUGCAUGGACGCCGCAUCCGAUGGUGCAACGGCGGCAGUGCGGGCACCUUGAAGCACUAAAGAACCGGGAAGCCGACCUGGGCUCGUCACAAGGCACGGCAGGCAUGAAGAGUAACCCUUUCCUUUACCUCGUGCAGAUCAAAAAGGCAAAGCGCACACACAACAAACGUCUAUCGGCGGCGAGAAUUUGGAGUGGCGCCUUCUCACGAGUGACGUCACGGCCAGGACACCGCUCACUCCGGCUCGCUUGGCUGCCGCUCGCGCCAUGACCCCUGUCACCGCCCCUGGGAGGAACAUUGCUCGCUUGUGCGAAAAGGCAAGUCUGCAUGACUCAACGAACGAACCUUGAGUCAUAUGCUUUUGCGUAAUAUAGGAACGUCGCAAGACUUUGGUUUAUUGAAGAUUUCUUGAACAUGUCGAGCGCAGGAAGAAAAUUUGGUUUCUCCUGCGUUAAUAAAACUGUUUCAAUGGACUGCCCUUGGGGAACUACAAGUUAAAGACUAAAAAAUGCAUACUGUGCUGUGGAAUACUGUGGAUAUCUCCAGGAGAAGGAAGCUCAUUUUUCAGACGCUUUGGAAAAUAUCGUGGCAUGCUUCCUGCUCCGUUGAUUUAGUCGUUCUUUUUUCUUUACGAAGAUAACAGAGAUGUUCUUUUCAUCACGGCUGCAAACUUUUAGUAUGUUAACAUACUAUGCGAGAAUUCACGCAACUUCCAAGAGCAAUUUCAGUUCCUGACACCCAGCAGCGUUACUGGAGUGAUAUUAAUUCUACGCUAUUGUCUGCUGAAUAAAACCGUAUUCUUCAUUUUUUUUUAUUUUUCGGUAUGCUUCUAAAUUUAGCAAUCAGCUGGGAACCAUGAGUUCUACAUGUAAAUCUACAGCACACAUUACCUAAGUAUUUGCAGCAACUUGCUUUAAGAUGAGAUUUUGUAUAUACUAUCUCACCUUAUUAAAAUAGUUACCCUAACACUUUUGUUGCAAUGUAGUACGAUCUUGUCGCCUACCUACGCGUUUGAUGCACCCUUUUGCUGCCUGGCAAUCUAUCCGAGCUUGUU